rnacentral:rRNA from 1 species
GACGAACGCUGGCGGCGUGCUUAACACAUGCAAGUCGAACGGAAAGGCCUCUUUCGGGGGGUACUCGAGUGGCGAACGGGUGAGUAACACGUGAGUAACCUGCCCUUGACUUUGGGAUAACUUCAGGAAACUGGGGCUAAUACCGGAUAGGAGCUCCUGCUGCAUGGCGGGGGUUGGAAAGUUUCGGCGGUUGGGGAUGGACUCGCGGCUUAUCAGCUUGUUGGUGGGGUAGUGGCUUACCAAGGCUUUGACGGGUAGCCGGCCUGAGAGGGUGACCGGCCACCAUGGGACUGAGAUAAGGCCCAGGAUCCUACGGGAGGCAGCAGUGGGGAAUAUUGCACAAUGGGUGGAAGCCUGAUGCCGCAACGCCGUGGGCGGGAUGAAGGCCUUCGGGGUGGAAACCGCUUUCGCUCAUGACGAAGCUUUGUGUGACGGUAGUGGGUAAAGAAGCACCGGCUAACUACGUG